rnacentral:pre_miRNA from 1 species
AAUAGAUGAUACCGUUGACUUUUUCUCACGUGUUUGACCAUUCGUCUUAUUUAAAAAAUUUACGUAAUUAUAUUUUAUUUUAUUAUGAGUUGUUUUAUCACUCAUAGUACUUUAAGUGUGAUUUAUAUCUUAUACAUUUGUAUAGAAUUUUUGAAUAAGACGAAUGGUUAAACAUGUGAGAAAAAGUCAACGGCGUCAUCUAUU